UAAUUUUGAGUGAUCGCGUGCACAUGAAAAGCGCUUUCGGAUCCAUGAAUACGUUCGUUGCUUGGUAAAUUACUGAGAGUCUCCCAAGCGUUUUGUGAAAGUUUUGAUUUUCACAGCUUUGCUCUGGGUCUUUGUUCGUAUAAUGCCAGAAUUCUUUCCGAGGAUAGAGUUACAGAUUCAUGAGCUACACGUUCGUUGCUUGGUUUAUUACUGUGAAAGGCCGGAGUUUGAAUUUCACAGCUUUGCUAUGAAACCUUAUUAACGUGGCACCAGUUUUCCACCUUGGCAAGCUCCGUAUUCAUCAAAUUCUCUAGUGCUAUAAGAUCGCUGGAAGAGGCGAAAACAUUGGUGUCAUCUGCGAAUAUUUUGAAACUUAGCUUGUCAGAGGAAUGUGGCAGAUCGUUUAUGUAGAUUAGGAAUAGAAGCGGACCUAGUGUACUUCCUUGCGGAAUACCACAAAGCAUUGUCAGCUCAGAAGACCUGACCCCACCCAAGUCAACAUAUUGUUUUCUGUCUGUUAGGUAAUUAGUAAACCACUUGAGUGUCAAUCCCCUUAUCCCAUAGGCCUCUAAUUUAUCUAGUAAAAUGCCAUAGUUAACUGUAUCGAAAGCCUUCGAGAAAUCUAAAAAUACACCACAGGUAUACAUAUUAUUGUCGAUCGCUUUUCUAAGAGUGUUUAUUAUUUCGGUUAUAGCCAAUGAAGUUGAGUAACCUUUCCGAAAUCCAAAUUGACAUUCGUAAAGUAUGUUCUGUUUUUCUACAUAGUUAAUGAUUUAUGGAUAAUAAUGGUUCUCAAGUACUUGAGUGAAAGUUGACAGAGUUGAAAUUGGUCAAAAAUUAAACGGAUCCGUGAUUUCACCACCCUUGUCCACAGGGGUGAUUUUAGAUAUUUUGAGUAUAUCAGGUACCACACCCUGCUGCAAUGAUUGAUUAAGUAUGGUGGUUAAACUGUCACUAAUGUGACUAGACACAAGUUUAAUACAGCGCCUUGGUACGCCAAUUGACGAUACUUUAAGGUCCAAUCCAUAUAGUAGGUCGUACACUUCGUGGACAAGAAUGGCGCAAAAACUGAAGCUAUCACGAAAAGUACGUUUUAUGUACUGUUUUGGCUGUUGGGUACUAUGUGGAAUCUUGUUCGCGAGGUCUUCACCUACAUUAAUGAAAUGCGUAUUUAAGUGGUGUCAGUAUAACACUUGUUGUUAUAGAUUAAUUUCGUAAUUGGCGGUAGACUGGUACUAUUUCUCCGGUUUAUCAGUAAACCUAUUAAUUUCCAAGUUGUUUUGUGGUUGCCACUAUUCAAUUUAAAUUGAUUCUCAAAGUACACUUUUUUGGCAGCCUCUUUUACACGAUUUAAUUUGUUGUUGUAGAUUUUAUAGAAUCUAACUUUACUCGAAUCGUUACUGAGAAAGUGCGUUAUGAAAAAUUUUUGCCUUUGUUUUAUCGAAUUAAGUACUGCCUUAGUAAGCCAUGGUUUUGCUUGCUGUUUAAUUUGUUUAUUGGUUCGUUUACGUAACGGUGCAUGUUUAUCCGUUAGAGAUUGCAGCGCACUGAUUACUUUAUUAAUGCUAUCAUUAACAUCGUCAGUUACAAAUUGUUGAAAAUCAAUUAACCCAAGAUCGCUUAUAACAAGUCAUUGUGAAAAUGCGAGAAAUCACGGAAGUACUUAUUGUCUUUACGCAAGGGAAGUUUAUUUGUGACUGUACAAAAAAACAGGCAAAUGAUCAGUGAUACCUGCUAAACAUAUCCCCGCCUUAGCAAUUUUUUGCGGUACAUUUGUAUAAAUAUGGUCGAUAAGGGUUGCGCUGUGAUCGGUAAUUCUUGUGGGCUUCGUGAUCAAUGGCAUGAAACCCGAAUCAAAUAGCAUAUCUAAAUAAUCUGUUGUUUGUGUGUCUCUAUUGUAGUGUAAAAGGUCUAUGUUCGCAUCGCUUACAACAAAAGUCUCUUUACCCCUUUUGUUGGAGUUAUCUAAAAUCUCUUGCAGCAUAUUAUGAAAUUUUUCACAAUCAUACAAUGGAUGUAUAUAAAGGCAGCCAAUGAGAACGUUCUUUUGUUUGGCCCUUGUUAUUUCAAUCCAACAAGAUUCAAUGCCGCCCUCAGCUAUUUCUAAAUCACGCCUUCUAAUGAAAUCUAAUUCAUGCGAUAUGUAAAUCCCGACUCCGCCUGCAUUAGUCGGUGAGUUUGUAUUCACAAAAACAUAACCUGGAAUAUUAAUGUUAUAAACAUUAUUAUCUUUAAGUUUUGUUUCUGAAAUCGCAAUUAUGUCCGGAGCACUUUUAACAGUCAAAAGAACAUCUUCUAACGACGUUAAGUUCGCCGAUAGGCUGCGCAUAUUCAGAUGGAUCAUAGAAAAGCCGCAGUGCUUGUUUGCAUGGAAGAGAUUUCCAGAGCGUUUGAUUGAAUAAUAUGAUCACGUUUCCAAGAAAUCACACCUAAUAUGAUCACGUUUCCAAGAAAUCACACCUAUUUUCUUAUGCACUAGUCAUUUGAAACCCCCACCCCCAAGGUCCCGGGGAAGUGUGGGGUUAACAUAAGGGCUUAGAGCACUUUUGAGCAAGAAUCUGUUCUGAGGGGGUGGCGGAAUUGACAGUUUUUGACUCUAAGACUUGUCCCCACCAUGGGGGCUUAGGGACAAAUGAAUAACAUCACAAAUGUACUUUGCAAAAGUCAUGUCAGUUGGUUUGAAACUCUUUCUCUUCUGUAGCAAGCAAAAACAAAUACAAAUGAUAACUAACGCCAGAUGAAGAUAAUUUAUUUUUCCAUUUUUUUGGUAACUAUAUCUUCAUAGUAAUUAGUACAAAUGUACUCACUAAAAUGUUACUGGCUUUGAAAGAUAAGCUUAUUUCAGAUGACUUGUUGUCGGGUAGUUGCCUAUAGUUUGCAUCCUGAGGUGUAGGGUCAUUUGACUGCGGUUUUGUCCCGAGGGGGUGGGGGCUUUUUUCUUUGUUUUGUACAGAGUCAAAGUCUAAUCCCCCACCUUUUCCCGGGACCAUGGGGGUGGGGGUUUUAAUUGACUAGUGCAUUAUAUUGUCACAUCUUUCGUCGGCACUUCGUGCCGACACUACGCGUAUCCGACAUCUUCGGGACGAUGAUACGAACAAAGACCCUGUUAACAAACAUCCAACAGCGCAAUUGAUGACUUCCACAAAAUAAACAAACAUGAGGUGUUGCA